rnacentral:tRNA from 2 species
GCCCGCGUGGUGGAAUGGUAGACACCAGCGACUUAAAAUCGCUUGGCUUCGGCCGUGCGGGUUCGAGUCCCGCCGCGGGCA